GAAAAAUACUGAGAAAACAAAGGGGCAAAGGGAAAAAAGAAUGAUCAUAGACUAUUCUUCAUUGACGUACUCAAAGUCAGGAAGGCUAUCACCAACAAAUCUAAUUGAGAUGGAAACUUCAGUGUGUUCAGCUAACAUGGGCCUUGUAUCAUACAUAUCUGGUUGCUUCUGGGAUCUCACCCAAUUUAAGGCAUGAGCAAUACUGAAAAAACAAAGGGAUAAGACGAAAGAAGAUUGAAUUAUGGACGGUUCUUUGUUGACCUAGGCAGUCACCAACAGACCUCCUCAAGAUGGAAUUUCACUGUGUUCUGGUGGGUGGAGUGCUUUAUUCAUUCACUUUUUAUUUCUUUGUCAUAUAUUUUUUUGAGUAAUUAUUUGCUAUUUGACCGUUGAGUAUUGUACGUUCUUAAUUUGUCUCACAGUUCGGUAACAAUAAGCAAGCAUUUCUCUGCAUAUUUUCUCCGCA